CGGAGCAAGACCAAAUAGGGGGGCAUAUCGCGUGGUCCGCGCGGCUCCCGGGUAGGUCGCUACAGGCGCUUGGCGACAAGCGUCGCAGAGGAAUGACCGUCCUCGACAGAACCCGGCUUAUAGGCCGGUUCCUUUU
rnacentral:RNase_P_RNA from 1 species